rnacentral:rRNA from 1 species
UACGUAGGGGGCAAGCGUUGUCCGGAUUUAUUGGGCGUAAAGAGCGUGUAGGCGGCUAUGCAGGUCCGCUGUGAAAACUCGAGGCUCAACCUCGGGACGUCGGUGGAAACCGCAUGGCUAGAGUCCGGAAGAGGAGAGUGGAAUUCCCGGUGUAGCGGUGAAAUGCGCAGAUAUCGGGAAGAACACCCGUGGCGAAGGCGGCUCUCUGGGACGGUACUGACGCUGAGACGGCGAAAGCGUGGGGAGCGAACAGG